UCACAGCAGUGUCCCUCCACUUUAAAAAAAGUGAAAUCUGUGCCAAUUACAUGGAUUCCUAGAAACUGCCAGGGCUCUAAUCGCUCAAGAGUAUUACUUGUUCCUUGAGGCAGUCACUUCAAUUGAGCAUGUCCCAGAUGCAUUAAGGCAUAGACUUUGCCAAUUGCUCUGUGAUUGUCAGAGAAUGAAUAGUCAUUUUUUGGAACUUCUUGUACAUGGAUCUCCUACAGAGAUACGCAUUAAGGAUUGUUCAUGGCUGACAG
rnacentral:misc_RNA from 1 species